GACGAACGCUGGCGGCGUGCCUAACACAUGCAAGUCGAACGAAGAUUUUAUGGAAUGCGGCUUCGGCCAAAUGAAAUUUAAUCUUAGUGGCGGACGGGUGAGUAACGCGUGAGCAACCUGCCUUUCAGAGGGGGAUAACGUUUGGAAACGAACGCUAAUACCGCAUGACAUGUCGGAACCGCAUGAUUCUGACAUCAAAGGAGCAAUCCGCUGAAAGAUGGGCUCGCGUCCGAUUAGAUAGUUGGUGGGUAACGGCCUACCAAGUCGACGAUCGGUAGCCGGACUGAGAGGUUGAACGGCCACAUUGGGACUGAGACACGGCCCAGACUCCUACGGGAGGCAGCAGUGGGGAAUAUUGCACAAUGGGGGGAAACCCUGAUGCAGCGACGCCGCGUGAGUGAAGAAGUAUUUCGGUAUGUAAAGCUCUAUCAGCAGGGAAGAAAAUGACGGUACCUGACUAAGAAGCCCCGGCUAACUACGUG
rnacentral:rRNA from 1 species